GACGAACGCUGGCGGCGUGCUUAACACAUGCAAGUCGAACGGAAAGGCCCUGCUUUUGUGGGGUGCUCGAGUGGCGAACGGGUGAGUAACACGUGAGUAACCUGCCCUUGACUUUGGGAUAACUUCAGGAAACUGGGGCUAAUACCGGAUAGGAGCUCCUGCUGCAUGGUGGGGGUUGGAAAGUUUCGGCGGUUGGGGAUGGACUCGCGGCUUAUCAGCUUGUUGGUGGGGUAGUGGCUUACCAAGGCUUUGACGGGUAGCCGGCCUGAGAGGGUGACCGGCCCCACUGGGACUGAGAUACGGCCCAGACUCCUACGUGAGGAAGCAGUGGGGAAGAUUGCAUAAUGGGCGGAAGCCUGAUGCAGCAACGCAGCGUGCGGGAGGACGGCCUUCGGGUUGUAAACCGCUUUCGCCUGUGACGAAGAGUGAGUGACGGUAAUGGGUAAAGAAGCACCGGCUAACUACGUG
rnacentral:rRNA from 1 species